AGACAGCAGUCGCCGCGGUAAUACGAAGGGGGCUAGCGUUGCUCGGAAUGACUGGGCGUAAAGGGCGCGUAGGCGGUUUAUACAGUCAGAUGUGAAAUUCCUGGGCUCAACCUGGGGACUGCAUUUGAUACGUAUGGACUUGAGUGGAGAAGAGGGUUGUGGAAUUUCCAGUGUAGAGGUGAAAUUCGUAGAUAUUGGAAAGAACACCGGUGGCGAAGGCGGCAACCUGGUCUUUAACUGACGCUGAGGCGCGAAAGCGUGGGGAGCAAACAGGAUUAGAUACCCGCGUAGUCCCUGUCUCUUAUAC
rnacentral:rRNA from 1 species